rnacentral:rRNA from 1 species
GAUGAACGCUGGCGGCGUGCCUAAUACAUGCCAGUCGAGCGAACAGACGAGGAGCUUGCUCCUCUGACGUUAGCGGCGGACGGGUGAGUAACACGUGGAUAACCUACCUAUAAGACUGGGAUAACUUCGGGAAACCGGAGCUAAUACCGGAUAAUAUAUUGAACCGCAUGGUUCAAUAGUGAAAGACGGUUUUGCUGUCACUUAUAGAUGGAUCCGCGCCGCAUUAGCUAGUUGGUAAGGUAACGGCUUACCAAGGCAACGAUGCGUAGCCGACCUGAGAGGGUGAUCGGCCACACUGGAACUGAGACACGGUCCAGACUCCUACGGGAGGCAGCAGUAGGGAAUCUUCCGCAAUGGGCGAAAGCUUGACGGAGCAACGCCGCGUGAGUGAUGAAGGUCUUCGGAUCGUAAAACUCUGUCAUUAGGGAAGAACAAAUGUGUAAGUAACUAUGCACGUCUUGACGGUACCUAAUCAGAAAGCCACGGCUAACUACGUG